rnacentral:rRNA from 1 species
UAUGCGAUACUUGGUGUGAAUUGCAGAAUUCAGUGAAUCAUCGAAUCUUUGAACGCACCUUGCGCCCUUUGGUAUUCCGAGGGGCAUGCCUGUUUGAGUGUCAUUAAAUACCAUCAACCCUCUUUUGACUUCGGUCUCGAGAGUGGCUUGGAAGUGGAGGUCUGCUGGAGCCUAACGGAGCCAGCUCCUCUUAAAUGUAUUAGCGGAUUUCCCUUGCGGGAUCGCGUCUCCGAUGUGAUAAUUUCUACGUCGUUGACCAUCUCGGGGCUGACCUAGUCAGUUUCAAUAGGAGUCUGCUUCUAACCGUCUCUUGACUGAGACUAGCGACUUGUGCGCUAACUUUUGACUUGACCUCAAAUCAUGGUAUGAUGUACCCGCUGAACUUAAGCAUAUCAAAAGCGGAGGAA